ACAGGGCAGUCCGAGACGUCCCUUACGUCUGGCUCAGGGUAUGAAACAUCCUCAGCAACCGAUCCAGUCGUCCAAUAAUAAUGCUCGCAUUGCUGGCCACGUUCGCCACCCUCGUGCUGGUUGUUUGCGUCGGAGUCGUUCUGGCCUUCAA